CAUUUUCCUUCAACCAGCAAGGGCUUUCCCGGCGUCUUGGCAGAGGCACACAGGUCUGGGGAGCACAAACUGCCGCCCUGUUGACAGGGAUCCGGUAACAUCUGUGUCGCCUUCAGGAAGAGGCACUCCUCGCCACGAGCAAUUCCAAAUAGUUCAUACCACUCUGGUGAAAACGCCACCGUCAGCUUCCCAAACGCACGCACACGAGAUACUGGUCAACAGCCCUCACUUUAAAGUUGUCUUGCUUGUUAUUCUGGGAGCUCGGUUUCGUCACCUGCACUGGAAUGCAUUAUGCAGUCUCUACUUGAGAAUCUGGAGCGGUCUCUGCGUUCACCGCGGGGAUGGACCGGUUGCUGCCUGCACUUGCUAGCUAUAAACUACGGAGACACGAGGUACUCAGCCCGCUUUCAGAGAUUAUCUGUGAUAGGUGAAUAGGAGGUAUUUUCAAGAUCAAGCAGAAACAGGAAAUCUAAGGUUUCAACAUGCUAGGUUGUGAAAUUGAGGACUUUCUUUUCUAUGACUGGAGCAAAGUAUAGUUCACAAAUACACAUCAUGAAGACAGAGUGUUUUUAUAAGAAAUAGAAGGUUUUUAAGAAUCUGUGUCAGAAGAGUUUCAAGAGCAGGGUGGAUUUUCUACGUUGUCAUGAAAGAGGAAAGCUGGAAGCAGGGAAGGAGCAAAGAGGGGUUUCGGAAGACUACAGAGCACACCGACAAGAGUCAGGGUGGUGACAGAAGAGGAAGUGGCUGCCAUCCUUGAUCUGCAUCGGCAAGAACUUCAAGACCUCCUCGCUUUCAGCAAAAUUGCAUAAUCUGCAUAGCAAAGUUUGUUAAGAAGCCUUCCUCUAAUCCUGAUGCUGGAGGAGUCUUCUUUUAUAAUUCAGCUUCUCUGGUGACCUGCUCAGCAUACAGGUUGAAUAAGUAUGAUGAGAGGAUACAACCCUGAUGCUCACCUUUCCUGACUUGAAACCCUGCAGCAUGCCGUUAGUCUGUUCUUACUCUGGAAGUUCUGUGAACACCUGAUGACUUUGGGUGACCCUGGUGGUAC